rnacentral:rRNA from 1 species
CCUACGGGUGGCUGCAGUGAGGAAUAUUGGUCAAUGGGCGAGAGCCUGAACCAGCCAAGUCGCGUGAAGGAUGAAGGACCUAUGGUUCGUAAACCUCUUUUAUAUGGGAGUAAAGUGGGGAACGUGUUCACUUUUGUAUGUACCCUAUGAAUAAGCAUUGGACAACCCCGUGCCAGCAGCCGCGGGAAUCCGGAGGAUGCGAACGUUAACCGGAUUUAUUGGGGUUAAAGGGGGCGUAGGUCGUAAAGUAAGUCAACGGGGAAAAUUUGUGGCUCAACCAUAGAAGUGCCGUUGAAACUGGUGGUCUUGAGUGUGUGUGAGGUAAGCGGAAUGCGUGGUGUAGCGGUGAAAUGCAUAGAUAUCACGCAGAACGCCGAUUGCGAAGGCAGCUUACUAGAGUAUAACUGACACUGAGGCACGAAAGCGUGGGGAUCGAACAGGAUUAGAUACCCGGGUAGUC